CCUACGGGUGGCAGCAGUGAGGAAUAUUGGUCAAUGGCCGAGAGGCUGAACCAGCCAAGUCGCGUGAGUGAUGAAGGCCCUACGGGUUGUAAACCUCUUUUGUCGGGGAGCAAAGAGAGUCUCGUGUGGCUCAUUGAGAGUACCCGAAGAAAAAGCAUCGGCUAACUCGGUGCCAGCCGCCGCGGUAAUACGGAGGAUGCGAGCGUUAUCGGGAUUUAUUGGGUUUAAAGGGUGCGUAGGCGGCCUUUUAAGUCAGCGGUGAAAGUCUGUGGCUCAACCAGAGAAUUGCCGUUGAAACUGGGAGGCUUGAGUAUGUAUGAGGCAGGCGGAAUGCGUGGUGUAGCGGUGAAAUGCUUAGAUAUCACGCAGAACCCAGAUUGCGAAGGCAGCCUGCCAAGCCAUGACUGACGCUGAUGCACGAAAGCGUGGGGAUCAAACAGGAUUAGAUACCCUUGUAGUC
rnacentral:rRNA from 1 species